CUAUCGUCCUCAAGGAGGCGCUGGUGGACCGCGAGCCUGUUCUACAUGUUUCGAGCGGGAGUUCCUGCCGAUCUCCUUCCAGCCCAGGAAGAGAAAUACUCUGUUAGAGCAAUAGUGGCUGCUUUGAACCAGUGCUACAGGCCACGGUUUUUACUUCUGAUUCCAAAAGAUAACUUGUUUAUAUGAAUGAAAUGAGAUGCAUCAGAGGUGCAGGAUGGAGUUAGCCUUAUGGGACUAGAUCCCUACUCCCUGCACCUUGGUGACUCUCAGCACCACUGGGUUGUCCCAGUACAUUCGGUCUCCUAUGGAUCUGCCCUUGAUUGUGGAAGUCAUUCAUGGUGACUCAGCUAGAAUUUGUCCUUCCAGUCUUCCUUAACACACUCUGGAGAAAAGGAGAACUGGGACCAUCUGGGGAGCAACUGCCUGGAACUGAUGAUGGUGGAUGAGUUGACCAUGGACCCAAGGAUGGCAGGAGAAGCUGACCGGGGUGAAUUCCAGGAUAGCAGCCUUGAUCCCCUGCCUCUAAAAUGGUAUCAGUACCGAGCUCAU